GAUGAACGCUGGCGGCGUGCCUAAUACAUGCAAGUCGAGCGAACGGACGCGAAGCUUGCUUCUCUGAUGUUAGCGGCGAACGGGUGAGUAACCCGUGGAUAACCUACCUAUAAGACUGGGAUAACUUCGGGAAACCGGAGCUAAUACCGGAUAAUAUUUUGAACCGCAUGGUUCAAAAGUGAAAGACGGUCUUGCUGUCACUUAUAGAUGGAUCCGCGCUGCAUUAGCUAGUUGGUAAGGUAACGGCUUACCAAGGCAACGAUGCAUAGCCGACCUGAGAGGGUGAUCGGCCACACUGGAACUGAGACACGGUCCAGACUCCUACGGGAGGCAGCAGUAGGGAAUCUUCCGCAAUGGGCGAAAGCCUGACGGAGCAACGCCGCGUGAGUGAUGAAGGUCUUCGGAUCGUAAAACUCUGUUAUUAGGGAAGAACAUAUGUGUAAGUAACUGUGCACAUCUUGACGGUACCUAAUCAGAAAGCCACGGCUAACUACGUG
rnacentral:rRNA from 1 species